rnacentral:rRNA from 1 species
UACGUAGGGUGCAAGCGUUGUCCGGAAUUAUUGGGCGUAAAGAGCUCGUAGGCGGUCUGUCGCGUCGGCUGUGAAAACCCGUGGCUCAACCACGGGCCUGCAGUCGAUACGGGCAGACUAGAGUGCGGUAGGGGAGACUGGAAUUCCUGGUGUAGCGGUGAAAUGCGUAGAUAUCAGGAGGAACACCUGCGGUGUAGACGGCUUUCUGGACCAUUGUUGACGCUGAGACACGAAAGCGUGGGUAGCAAACAGG